ensembl:lncRNA
CUCGAACUUUGCCAUUCACCGUGAGACGAUCACGCCUGUGUGACUGGGCCCCAGAACGAGGCACGUGGAGCCGAGCUGCUCCAGCCAGCCGCAGAUGCACAGACGGGAAACGCACGCUCACCGCGCUCUAAUGCGGGUUUCCUGUGCUCAUCGCAUGGCUCUAGCCACCUGACAAGGGCAACUUUGAAGCUGUGGGAUAGGAAGAUCACCCGUGGAGAAGGAGGGGAGGAGAAGAAGGCCAAGGAGCCACCCUGCCAGACUCCGCUGUGGGGUAGAGGAGUGGGAGCCACCCAAGAACCACUGGGCAGACAGACAGAAGGAAACGCAACUGCAGGUCGUGGAGGCCAAGAAAGACACAUAUUUCCAACAGGAGACAGGCACACCGCACGUUGCAAAGGUGUCAACUAAGAUGAGGGCAGAAAAGCCUACAGGAUCUGUGUGCAUCGAGAUCAGCGGUGGUGGCAGCCUGACACGGCAGGGAAGGCACUGAUGAAGGACGGGCUGCAGGAGCAACCAGUGACCACACAACCGGUCCAGGGCGCUCUGACACCCAACAGCAGAGGACGGACGAAAGAGCUGAGAAAUGCUAAGAUGUCCUGGUCAGGUGGCCCAGCAGUCACGGGCAGGGCAGACGUGAUAAUCUCUUUGUGGCAGACAAGCAACUGAAGGACAAAGAGGACAAAGCCAGGCUGUAGUCCGCACCCGGACGCGGGGGAGGGGCAGGUGACCACACAGAGUGCCAGCUGGGUCAGCGAAGGAGGCUCGUGGCCCUGGGCUCCUGGCCCCUCUCCUGGCACGCCCAAGCUGGGGAGGGAUGUUCUGUUUGUGCGGGUCUCUGACGCGCCCCCUGGGGUCAUCUCGCCUCGCAUCCAGCCGCAGGUCCCUCGAGGGCUGGCUCUGCCACUGGUCCUCCUGGGAGUUUGAGCAGGGGAUGGAAGGAAUGCUGGCCGCCCUAACUGCCAGUGGGGCCUGGAUUUAAAACCCUGAGAACCAGCUGUGGCCCCAGAAUCCACUGCCACAGAGAACGGAUUCAUGUGAGGCAUCCCCUGAUUGUCAAGGUUCUAGCGGGAGAACUCCUCAUUUGGCCUGAAGCCGCCUCCCAAGGUGUGUGAGAGAAGUCCAUGUCUCAGAGUGAACUGUUGAAAAAGCACAAAUGUAAGCGACACACUGAAUUUUUGUUGCUCGUUUUGAGGGUCUGAAGGGUUCUGUUGGGUCUGCUCCGGAAGGACGGGAGCAUCUCUUCUCCUUUCCCCACACCGAAAAAAGGCAAGAUGACCCCUCCAGCUCUGGUGUUUCAGAGCCACUGAAGGGACCAGCUGAGACCUCCACGGGGCACAGAGAGGGGAUGGUGCAGUGCUGGGAGCUGCAAAUGCAGACCAACACGGCCCACCCAGCCCACCCGCCCUGCCCGAGGGGCGGAAGCUUAACCUCCACAGGCCUGAGAAAUGGACACCAUUUAGCCAAAUGGCGGCAGGAACAGUCAACACCCUGGGCCUACGAGCCCCUGGUUUUCCAGCACCUGACAGCGCUGACUCUGUACCUGGUCUGUGACAAGCAAGAAGGGGCCCAGCAAAAGCGAGGCAGUCUCCCUGGAGCUGGAGUCCAGAGACCCUGUCUGACUCGAAGGAAGUAGAGGCUGGUUCCCACCCUCUAGAGGCGGCAACCCCCCAUCCAUCGAGCUAGCUGGGAGCCCCAGCUUCCCUGGCAGUAGCGUCAGUCCCCGGCCCAUGCGUUUCCAACAGCUUUGUGGCUUGGUUUUGGCCAAAACUUUCGUUUCCCUCAACAAAAUGUAUUUGUCUCUGA